rnacentral:rRNA from 1 species
UACAGAGGGGCAAGCGUUGUUCGGAAUUACUGGGCGUAAAGGGCGCGUAGGCGGCCUUCUAAGUCGAACGUGAAAUCCCCGGGCUCAACCCGGGAACUGCGUCCGAUACUGGAAGGCUUGAAUCCGGGAGAGGGAUGCGGAAUUCCAGGUGUAGCGGUGAAAUGCGUAGAUAUCUGGAGGAACACCGGUGGCGAAGGCGGCAUCCUGGACCGGCAUUGACGCUGAGGCGCGAAAGCGUGGGGAGCAAACAGG